AGACCCGAAACCCGGUGAUCUAGCCAUGGGCAGGUUGAAGGUUGGGUAACACUAACUGGAGGACCGAACCGACUAAUGUUGAAAAAUUAGCGGAUGACCUGUGGCUGGGGGUGAAAGGCCAAUCAAACCGGGAGAUAGCUGGUUCUCCCCGAAAGCUAUUUAGGUAGCGCCUCGUGAAUUCAUCUCCGGGGGUAGAGCACUGUUUCGGCUAGGGGGCCAUCCCGGCUUACCAACCCGAUGCAAACUGCGAAUACCGGAGAAUGUUAUCACGGGAGACACACGGCGGGUGCUAACGUCCGUCGUGAAGAGGGAAACAACCCAGACCGCCAGCUAAGGUCCCAAAGUCAUGGUUAAGUGGGAAACGAUGUGGGAAGGCCCAGACAGCCAGGAUGUUGGCUUAGAAGCAGCCAUCAUUUAAAGAAAGCGUAAUAGCUCACUGGUCGAGUCGGCCUGCGCGGAAGAUGUAACGGGGCUAAACCAUGCACCGAAGCUGCGGCAGCGAACGUAUCACCCAAGACAACUUUACGGAGUUGACGAUUGACGGAGCGAAGCGACGUCAAAGCGUUCAUUAAAGUCGAGUUGGCUUAGGGAUACGUUCGUUGGGUAGGGGAGCGUUCUGUAAGCCUGUGAAGGUGUGUCGUGAGGCAUGCUGGAGGUAUCAGAAGUGCGAAUGCUGACAUAAGUAACGAUAAAGCGGGUGAAAAGCCCGCUCGCCGGAAGACCAAGGGUUCCUGUCCAACGUUAAUCGGGGCAGGGUGAGUCGACCCCUAAGGCGAGGCCGAAAGGCGUAGUCGAUGGGAAACGGGUUAAUAUUCCCGUACUUGGUGUUACUGCGAAGGGGGGACGGAGAAGGCUAUGUUGGCCGGGCGACGGUUGUCCCGGUUUAAGCGUGUAGGUGUGUGUUCCAGGUAAAUCCGGUUCACUUUAACACUGAGGCGUGACGACGAGGCACUACGGUGCUGAAGCAACAAAUGCCCUGCUUCCAGGAAAAGCCUCUAAGCAUCAGGUAACACGAAAUCGUACCCCAAACCGACACAGGUGGUCAGGUAGAGAAUACCAAGGCGCUUGAGAGAACUCGGGUGAAGGAACUAGGCAAAAUGGUGCCGUAACUUCGGGAGAAGGCACGCUGACACGUAGGUGAAGUGAUUUACUCACGGAGCUGAAGUCAGUCGAAGAUACCAGCUGGCUGCAACUGUUUAUUAAAAACACAGCACUGUGCAAACACGAAAGUGGACGUAUACGGUGUGACGCCUGCCCGGUGCCGGAAGGUUAAUUGAUGGGGUCAGCGUAAGCGAAGCUCCUGAUCGAAGCCCCGGUAAACGGCGGCCGUAACUAUAACGGUCCUAAGGUAGCGAAAUUCCUUGUCGGGUAAGUUCCGACCUGCACGAAUGGCGUAAUGAUGGCCAGGCUGUCUCCACCCGAGACUCAGUGAAAUUGAACUCGCUGUGAAGAUGCAGUGUACCCGCGGCAAGACGGAAAGACCCCGUGAACCUUUACUAUAGCUUGACACUGAACAUUGAGCCUUGAUGUGUAGGAUAGGUGGGAGGCUUUGAAGUGUGGACGCCAGUCUGCAUGGAGCCGACCUUGAAAUACCACCCUUUAAUGUUUGAUGUUCUAACGUGGACCCGUAAUCCGGGUUGCGGACAGUGUCUGGUGGGUAGUUUGACUGGGGCGGUCUCCUCCUAAAGAGUAACGGAGGAGCACGAAGGUUGGCUAAUCCUGGUCGGACAUCAGGAGGUUAGUGCAAUGGCAUAAGCCAGCUUGACUGCGAGCGUGACGGCGCGAGCAGGUGCGAAAGCAGGUCAUAGUGAUCCGGUGGUUCUGAAUGGAAGGGCCAUCGCUCAACGGAUAAAAGGUACUCCGGGGAUAACAGGCUGAUACCGCCCAAGAGUUCAUAUCGACGGCGGUGUUUGGCACCUCGAUGUCGGCUCAUCACAUCCUGGGGCUGAAGUAGGUCCCAAGGGUAUGGCUGUUCGCCAUUUAAAGUGGUACGCGAGCUGGGUUUAGAACGUCGUGAGACAGUUCGGUCCCUAUCUGCCGUGGGCGCUGGAGAACUGAGGGGGGCUGCUCCUAGUACGAGAGGACCGGAGUGGACGCAUCACUGGUGUUCGGGUUGUCAUGCCAAUGGCACUGCCCGGUAGCUAAAUGCGGAAGAGAUAAGUGCUGAAAGCAUCUAAGCACGAAACUUGCCCCGA
rnacentral:rRNA from 1 species